rnacentral:tRNA from 1 species
CGGGGUGGAGCAGCCCGGUAGCUCGUCAGGCUCAUAACCUGAAGGUCACAGGUUCAAAUCCUGUCAUUUCGGCC